GGAGGAGGGGUGGGGCCGAGGGGCGGGGCUGGGGGGGGGGCCGUUGGCUCCAGACAAAUAAACAUGGAGUCCAUCUUCCACGAGAAACAAGAAGGCUCACUUUGUGCUCAGCAUUGCUUGAAUAAUCUAUUGCAAGGAGAAUAUUUUAGCCCUGUGGAAUUAUCUUCAAUUGCACAUCAGCUAGAUGAAGAAGAGAGGAUGAGAAUGGCAGAAGGAGGAGUUACUAGCGAAGACUAUCGCACAUUUUUACAGCAGCCUUCUGGAAAUAUGGAUGACAGUGGCUUUUUCUCUAUUCAAGUUAUAAGCAAUGCCUUGAAAGUUUGGGGUUUAGAACUAAUUCUCUUCAACAGUCCGGAGUAUCAGAGGCUCAGGAUCGAUCCCAUAAAUGAAAGAUCAUUUAUAUGCAAUUACAAAGAACACUGGUUUACAGUUAGAAAAUUAGGGAAACAGUGGUUCAACUUGAAUUCUCUCUUGACGGGUCCAGAAUUAAUAUCAGACACAUACCUUGCACUUUUCUUGGCUCAAUUACAACAGGAAGGUUAUUCUAUAUUUGUUGUUAAGGGUGAUCUGCCAGAUUGUGAAGCUGACCAACUUCUACAGAUGAUCAGGGUCCAACAGAUGCAUAGACCAAAACUCAUUGGAGAAGAAUUAGCACAACUGAAAGAACAGAGAGCCCAGAAAACAGAUCUGGAACGAGUCUUAGAAGCAAAUGAUGGGUCAGCCAUGUUAGACGAAGAUGAGGAAGAUUUGCAGAGGGCUCUGGCACUAAGUCGCCAAGAAAUUGACAUGGAAGAUGAAGAAGCAGAUCUCCGUAGGGCUAUUCAGCUCAGUAUGCAAGGUAGUUCCAGAAGUAUAUCUCAAGAUAUUCCACAGACAUCAGGUACAAAUCUUACUUCAGAAGAGCUACGGAAGAGAAGAGAAGCCUACUUUGAAAAGUAAAGUAGUUGGCAGCAGCAGCAGCAGCAGCAGCAGCAGCAGCAGGACCCUCUGGGCCAUCUUUCACACCCAUGUGAGAGGCCUGCCACAAGUUCAGGAGCUCGGGGCAGUGAUCCAGAGCUCUCUCUUUACGGUGGAGUCACAGAACGUCGAUGUCUGCUUCUGCUGCAUAUUUUGUAGUAGGUAUCACUUGCCAGAGAUGAUGAUCUGGAACAUGAAAAUAAUCUACUAACAAAAGUACCUUUACAUUUAUACUGUGAUUUGACACAUCAUGUUUAAGUAGCUUAAGAGUUACAGAAGUCACACAGUACUUAAUGGGUCUGUAAAUAAGAAAGCCUUUAGUUUUGAUAAACAUUCUUUGAUUGGAAUGCACAGAGAGUUUCUUGCUAGGUCAAUACAGUGGUUUGAUUUUGGUGAAAAUUAGCUAUAUCUCUCUGAAAUAGACAUUUCGGAUUCUGUCCCCAGUCCCUCAUUCUUCACCCCCUUUGAAGCCCUUUGGAAUGUUGAAUUGUUCAUAAGCUAAAAGUUAGGAAAUUUCAGCCAACAACAUAGAAAAUUAAAAUAUGGCUGUAUACAUUUUAUCAGGGAAAUUUUUUUGACCUAGGAUUUAUUGCCGAGUUGAAAAGAGAUGAAGAAAUGCCUUUUAUGAUUAUGAAAUAGAUUUUUUUUUUGGAUAGAGACAGACUUUUUUAGUCAUUAUUUUGUGCCAAAUAAAGUUUUCUGAAAUUUCCCUUGCAAAAGUAGACCAUUUUACUUUAAAAUCUAAAGUUUUCUUUUGAGAAUUGAAAAUGUUUCAGAAGUUAUAAGACUUUAGAAUUGCAAGGGACAUUGGAGUUUAGUACUUCUCCCUCAAGAUUUGUAAACCAAAAUAUUUUAAGAUUGAGCAUUUCUGUAGUUAUCCCUAGUAUAUUUGUCCUAUUUUCCAUGGAUAUUAGCUUUUACCUUGUCCCAUUGAAAAAUUAGGUUGAACUUUUCAUACACUUGAAUGGAUGAGUUACCUAAUAUAAAAAUGAGAAAAGAAAUAUGCAUUUGAAAGUUUUAACCUUAGAGCUUAUAAAGUUCUUAGAUUACACGCCUUUAUUAAAGCACUUAAGGAAAUAUGGCAUGUUGACCUUCGUUUAGGGAUUUUUUUUUUUUUUUUAACAGCAGAGCUAAGCACACACUGGAUACAUUUGAAUGUGUUUAUUUAGUUUCUUACGAAUGUUGCAUUUGGCAGGCAGAUCCAGAAUGACUAGGGAACUGCCAACUUGUUUGGAUUGGCUUAAACUUAAUUUAGAUUCCAUUCCUUAAUUCAUUGGCCAGUAUGAAGAAAUGCCAAUGCUCAUAAUACAGUAUCAGAGAACUUAGUUAUACAAAGGUAUAGUUCACACAUCAGAAACUUAUUUACAGUAAACAACCUGCAAGAAAGUCAGAAACAAUGACAUUCACAAUAACUGUCCUGCUAAGAACUCUAUAUAAAGAUUUCCAUUCUGUUUUACCAAUUGGGAACACCUUAUUAAUGUUUAAUAUUUAAACUAUUGGUAUCAUUUUUCUAAUGUAUAAAUUGUAUUACCAGGAUAAAAUACGUACAGUGGUGAUGCUAGUGUUUAAACAAGUUUUGGAAACACCACUUUCAUAUUUUGAGAUGUCAUGGAUAUAAGUAGUUAUUUAUGUUUUAAAAAUUCACAGUAGUUAAAAAAAUAACAGUAGUUAACCUCUGUUCUAAAACCAUCAAAAAACAUUUUUUACAGUAAUUCACAUACAAAUAUUUCAGUAAUAUAAAUUGAAAAGAUUGCUGCAGGUAAACUAUAUUUUAACUUUUAAGAUCUUAGUCAAAUAAUUUACAAUUCACAGAAUAUUUAAGGAGGUGCUUGUUUUUCUUUAAAACUUGAUUUUUCUUAAUUAAGACUUUAUUCAUGCCAAAGUUGAUAAGGAAAAAAGUUCAACACUGGUUGAAGGUCAUUAUAGGUAAAACUACCAAUAGUCUGUGUCUUUUCAUUUAAUAUUAAGUUGAAUAAAGUAAUUUUAUUCCUGUCAGAGCCUAAAUCACAUUUUUAAUGUCUGCAUGUUUGAUACUCUUUUUAAAUAGUAUCAUGCUUGUGCCAAGAUUUAUUAAAUGUCUUAAAAUUGGCCUAUUGGACCCAUGCAGAUUUAAAGAAGAUUGAGUCAAUACAUAAGCAAAAUAUAGUGAUAGAAAUUAAAAUAUCUCCAUUUGAAAUAAAUCUUGAUGUUUUUAAAUUCUCAAGAGGACUCAAUAAUUAAUAUUGAUGACUUCCUAUUAAAAAUUUUAUCUGCAACUAGAGAGCCCAAUGACCACUACUCUAAAGCAGUUUGUUGUAUCUGGGCCCUAACAAGUAUGGAGAUAUUAAAUAUGUGAUCUUAAUUAAGAAAAACCAGAUUGGAUCAACUAAUCAUUUCAGCAGUGUCAAUAAUUUUUCAUAUUUUCAAAAGAAAAACUUUCCUUUAUUCCUGGUCCCUUUAUGAACCAGCAUCUUUUGCUAAAGAGAUGAACUGGCUUGUAUUUUUUAAAGUCUUACAUUGGCAAAAAUAUUUUGUUCCAUUUUACUUUCAUGAAUGAAAAGAUUAUUGACAUGGUUGGUUAAUUCUUGAAUUUUGAUUUUUUUUAAAUUUGAAGAAAAUCUUUGUAUUUUUUUUCCAAAAUGUUCUGGCAUUUUAAGAAUUAAUGCUGGUAACAUAAUUCUAAAUUUACAGGAAUUGGCAUGUUUAAUUAACAGUAGUGUCUCAGUAAAUAUUUUAAGACUAUGGAUUCAUAGACAAGGAAUGGCAAGCAAUAGUGAAAUAUAUGUGAAAAUUCCUGAUUCAUUUAGGAAGCACUUCACCUGUUUCUUGCAUAGUUUAAAUAGGGUGAAUGUCUCCAGGAACUUUUUAAAUUUUUUUUUAAAAGAGAAAAACGUACACUUAAAUGUGAAAGAUUAUCUAAUUUCUACAACACUGGACUACUAGAAAUAACUUUGUAAAAAUUACUGUUCUGUAUAAACUAUUUGAAAUUCAAGUACAAAAAACACCUGAAAAAGCAUUGUCUUUUGGCCAUGACACCAGUGCACUGUGGCAGUGCCAUUUGCUCAGGACCCAACUCCGCAGCCCUCUGUGUUCUGUUGCGGCAACUACACACAGGCCUUCCUGUCUGGUCCUUAGAAAAGCCGGGCUUCCAAAGCACUGUUGAACACUGAGGAUUCUAUUGUUAAUGUGGAUGUUCGAUGAGUUGUAUUUUAAAUAUCAAAGAUUAUUAAAUAAAGAUAAUGUUUGCUUUUUUAA